rnacentral:lncRNA from 1 species
AGGGGGGACCCCCCUGGGGCCGCGGUGCCCGCGCGCGGCUCUCGCUCCUUGCCGGCCCGGUCCAGCAGGACAGGCCCAGGACAGACCCCGCUGCGCCUGUCUCCCGCCUGGACGGGAGGCCACCAGGGACCCUCGGUCCCGAGACACGCCCGCGGCAGACAUCCCAGAGACGCGUCACGCACCUGCACCUCCGAGACGCAACACGCUCCACAGAGGGGACAUGCCCCUCAGGGGUGACAUGGCUCACAGAGACUGAGUUCUGGCUUUUCCUGGCCUAUUUGCUCUCAAAUUGAGCUCCCUAUUCUUACCCAGCUCAUUUUGUGCCUGUGGGGCCUGAUUGACUCCUGUAGACUGCAUUUUCUGGACUACCUUGCUUUCUGACUUCUGC